GGGUUGUGAGGUUAAGCGACUAAGCGUACACGGUGGAUGCCCUGGCAGUCAGAGGCGAUGAAGGACGUGCUAAUCUGCGAUAAGCGUCGGUAAGGUGAUAUGAACCGUUAUAACCGGCGAUUUCCGAAUGGGGAAACCCAGUGUGAUUCGUCACACUAUCAUUAACUGAAUCCAUAGGUUAAUGAGGCGAACCGGGGGAACUGAAACAUCUAAGUACCCCGAGGAAAAGAAAUCAACCGAGAUUCCCCCAGUAGCGGCGAGCGAACGGGGAGGAGCCCAGAGCCUGAAUCAG
rnacentral:rRNA from 1 species